GAAGCAGCUGAAGCCCAGGUCCCAGAGGGAUAGACCUUGCCCUUAGUUUCAGCACGGCAACGUACAUGAGUGUCCACUUCGGCCUGCACCUCAGCCAGGGAAACGUCUUCAUUGUUGGCCAUGCCUCUAGUGGCAGCCAGCCCAACAAUGCCAGGCUCUCCCCAACAGCAGGCCUUCACUGGCAAGACUCUCUGAACCAAGAUGGACCAUUGCUUUGUGGGGAGCCUGCAUCCUGUUGAGCUAAGUCACACAAACGCAAACUGUGGUGCCCAAGGAGAAGAAAAGGUGCUGAACUGUGCCUCAGAACAGGGGCAUGGUGACCCUGCCUGUAGGAGAGGAGUCUGCCAGGAUGAGGACGGGAGGGGUCUUACUCUCCUGCAAGAGACCACCCCUGGGGAUGAAGGACACCAGCCCUCCGGUGGCAUCAGUGCCAGAGGGGUCAGAGCACAGGGCUUCCACUGUUGCCUCUGCCAUCGCCUGCCUCCAGGUAAGUUCUUGCAGUUUUCUGAGCCUCCGUUUGCUGACCUGUAAAAUGAGGCUACUGAGCUGCUCUUAGGAUUUCGGGAUGAAGGCGCCAUCGCAGAACUGCAUUCCCUCUCCCUCCAGCUCCAAAAACUGAAUUCCGCCAAGGCAUAGAGCAGCUCUUAAGCCCAAGUUCACUGGGAUCACUACUGAAAGUGACAGGAGGCAGCCAAGUGUCUAGGCAGAUAGGGACAGGUCCCAGUGAAACCCCACCUUCAAGCCAAAAAUAGCCCGAAAGCUGAAAGAUCAGACUGCUGGUCCUGGAGGAAACCCACCACCCAGAGUGAGAACUUCUGUUCCUGUUUGCCCACCCUUUCCUGGUUGAUUCUUUCUGAACAAUGCCUUUUAACCAGUCGAAUGUUGCCCUUUCCGAUACUAUCUAUGGCCUGCCCCUCCCCUAUUCUGAGCCUAUAAAAUGUCCUGGACCCAGCUACACGAGGAGGAGAGAACCACCCCCCGCAUCCUCCCUCCACUGAAAGCUGUUCAGUCGCUCAAUAAAAUUCUUCUCCUCCCUCCUC